GGAAGCGUGGUAUACUAAAGCGAUAGCGCCCAGAUUUGACCUACCUACGAGGAUGGAAAAAAGCUUGACGUUGACGCUUGGCCGGAGAAAUGGAAAAGAGAGUUUCCAUAUAUUAUACACGAUAAGAAAACAGGAACCGCAAUCUGCACGUAUGUUACUUACAUUUCUGAGUUCAUUAUAAGAAAAUUAGACAAUAUGGACCUUUGAUCGAAGAAUUCACAAACAAGGAGGCAGUAGUGAUGGAAUGGCAGAAUCUUCGUCAUGAUCUGCAUAUUCUCCAAAUUACCGACUAUGGAGAACGUAUGCAAGUACUUAGCGGCAGCGCCCGAGUACCCAUGCUUUCAAGUGCUGGGCAAAGUCCUACAAGUUUUCGCAGCCGGUACCUCGGGGGCCGAACGAGGGUUUUCUUCAAUAAACAUAAUUAAGACGAAACACAGGAAUAGGCUUAGCAGCAGACACCUAACAAUGCUUCUGAGAUGUGGCGGGGAGACAUCCAUAAAAGCAGACAAAGCGGAAUCAUUCUUCAUGGAUGUCUUGCAACAUUGGAAAGAUUCCAAGCUACGUCGCCACGAACGGGCUGCAGAAGCCACGCCAUCCAUUUUUAUUCGUUCGCUUUUGUAUUUUUAUUUGUGAAUAAAACAAAUGUGUGAACUGUG